rnacentral:rRNA from 1 species
AUUGAACGCUGGCGGCAUGCCUUACACAUGCAAGUCGAACGGUAACGCGGGGCAACCUGGCGACGAGUGGCGAACGGGUGAGUAAUAUAUCGGAACGUGCCCAGUAGUGGGGGAUAGCCCGGCGAAAGCCGGAUUAAUACCGCAUGAGACCUGAGGGUGAAAGCGGGGGAUCGCAAGACCUCGCGCUAUUGGAGCGGCCGAUAUCAGAUUAGGUAGUUGGUGGGGUAAAGGCCUACCAAGCCGACGAUCUGUAGCUGGUCUGAGGGGACGACCAGCCACACUGGGACUGAGACACGGCCCAGACUCCUACGGGAGGCAGCAGUGGGGAAUUUUGGACAAUGGGGGCAACCCUGAUCCAGCCAUGCCGCGUGCGGGAAGAGGGCCU